rnacentral:lncRNA from 1 species
AAGCACGUACUUAAAGCUAAAUCUGAAGCAAAUUUGGGGAAAUGUCACCAACCAAUGAAGCACUAAAUGUCUUUAAGGAAGUGCGUAGGAAAUUAAACUGUAAGGGAUAUGCAUGAGCCAAAGUAAAUAGUGGCAGCAGGAGAUGAAGCAUUUACACACAUCAACUCCAUUGUAUAACUGCAAGAGUCCGACCAAAAAAAAGACAUCAAAAACAAUCAAACCUGCUUGGCUGUACAGGAAAAUGGAAGAUGAAGCACAAAUAAUCUGGACCCUGAAAUAGACCACUUUAUAGGGCCUCCAGUUGCAGCCACUGUCUUUGUGUCUCUUUUGUAAUAACAAGCUCUUGUAAAAUGAAAUAUUUAAAAUAAAAUGUGCUUACAAAGAGACAAAGCACAAAACCGUGCUGCAGCCACCACAUACAUUUCUUUCCUUAAUUGAUUGUUCCUUUUUGAAACACAUGGCUGUUGUUUCUAGGAACUCAUCUGCAUGCUUAUGGAAACAUUUUUUC